rnacentral:lncRNA from 1 species
ACGUUCAUGGCGGUGAGGCACAUAAAGGUGAAUAAGAGAUGCUAAGGCAGGGUAUUUUUGGUACCAAUCAAAAGGAGCUGAUUCAUGGGCAUAGCGGUUAUCCCAGUACCAUGGCUCACCGUAUGCUUGAGAUGAUGGUGUACCCAAGGUCAUCUUCUUCUUUUUUUCUGCAACUCGGUUUAUGAUAUAUGUUUGUUGAAUUGUAAUGAGAUUUGGGUUAUGGAUUUUAUUGCAAAAAAAUGUUGGCAGUUUCGGAGUUGGUGAAAUAAAUCAGGUUGUCUCGCAGGUACACCGUGUGGAGCUUUUUCUUUUGUUGGGAUUUAGCCAUGUUUAUCAUCAAACACCAAAGUACUAUGUAUCUCUCUCUUACCAACACGUGUGUUUGUUUUAAUCCACCCGAUUAGGAAC